GCCUGGGUGGCUUAGUUGGUUAAGCAUCUGACUUCAGCUCAGGUCAUGAUCUCGCGGUUUGUGAGUUUGAGUCCUGCGUUGGGCU
rnacentral:tRNA from 1 species